UGAACCUGCGGAGGGAUCAUUACCGAGUGAGGGCCUCCGGGCCCGACCUCCAACCCUUUUGUGAACCUACCUCGUUGCUUCGGGGGCGACCCUGCCGUUCGCGCGGCGUGGGGCUCCCGGAGACCAUCUAAACACUGCGUAAUUUUGCGUCGGAGUCUUGAUUAAAUCAAACAAAACUUUCAACAACGGAUCUCUUGGUUCUGGCAUCGAUGAAGAACGCAGCGAAAUGCGAUAAGUAAUGUGAAUUGCAGAAUUCAGUGAAUCAUCGAAUCUUUGAACGCACAUUGCGCCCCCUGGUAUUCCGGGGGGCAUGCCUGUUCGAGCGUCAUUACACCACUCAAGCCUGGCUUGGUAUUGGGCGUCGCGGGUCCCCCGCGCGCCUCAAAGUCUCACCGGCUGAGCGACCCCGUCUCUAAGCGUUGUGGAAACUAUUCGCGGCGAGAGGGGGCGGCGCGGCCGUUAAACUUCCAUCA
rnacentral:sRNA from 1 species